AAGGCUUUAAGUUAAUUAAACUAGUAUCCUUCAAAGCUAUAAAUAAAGAAAUUACUUCUUUAAGUCUUA
rnacentral:tRNA from 1 species